rnacentral:rRNA from 1 species
GAAGGGUGCAAGCGUUACUCGGAAUUACUGGGCGUAAAGGGUGCGUAGGUGGUUGUUUAAGUCUGUUGUGAAAGCCCCGGGCUCAACCUGGGAAUGGCAAUGGAUACUGGACAGCUAGAGUGCGGUAGAGGGUAGUGGAAUUCCCGGUGUAGCAGUGAAAUGCGUAGAGAUCGGGAGGAACACCAGUGGCGAAGGCGGCUACCUGGACCAGCACUGACACUGAAGCACGAAAGCGUGGGGAGCAAACAGGAUUAGAUACCCUGGUAGUCCACGCCCUAAACGAUGCGAACUGGACGUUGGGAGCAACUUGGCUCUCAGUGUCGAAGCUAACGCGUUAAGUUCGCCGCCUGGGGAGUACGGUCGCAAGACUG